UCAAAAUCAAGUUAAUGUCUUAACCUUACAAAAAAAUCAGAUUCUGUUCAUAUGCUCUUUUAUGCUAAAAAUAAAUUUUAGAUCUAAUUUAACCUUAGUCUAACAAGCAUAAGAAUUCCUUCACUUUGCUUGAGACAAAACCAUGAUGGGAAUAUGCAUCAAAAUCAGAUCAAGGUAAAUCGGAUAGCAGACAAGAAUUUUAUUUAGAGUUUGCAUUUUAACAAUGAUCAUCAUACUUUCUUUAAGGUAAUGGGAUUAAUAAUUUACUUGGAAUUUUAUCUCUGCUCUUAUUGCCUUGUGUGUAUUCCUUAUAUCUUGCUUCUCUCCUCCUUCCUUGCUCAUAGUCACAGAAUACUGCUUCUCCUGCCCAGUUCUCCUCCUUCCUCAUAUUGAAAAUUCCUCAUCCUCUCCCUCUGCUAAAAGCUUCAACUCCUCCUUCUCAUUAUUGCAUUGACUAUGGUUUUGUCUCUCUCCAUCACUGCUCCAAGAGGAUGAGCCACUUAACACUUUUCCUGUCACCAGUCACAACAAGUAGGGAAUAUUUUUUCAACGCAGUAAUUGCUUAAUGAUCUUUAGCUUGAGAUCAUCCACAGAGGCGACGACUUCACAACUUCAAGUGAAAACUAAAUGAAAAGAAACGGUGGUGACGUCAAUGGUGUUCUCUCUCCCGAUGAUAUGAAGCGGCUUCCUCUUCACUUGAUGGAUGCUAUUGCUCUCUCUCUCUCUCUCUCUCUCUCUCAUUUGUUCAUCUCCUUCAUCCUUGUCACUGCUCUCUUACUCUCUGUCUCUCUCUUUAACUCUCGCUUUGUUUUUCAUCCUCUCUUGCUCCAACUUCUUCUCCAUUUCUCUCUCUUUCCAACCUCCUAAAAUCUCUAUUGUUGCCCUUCUACUGUUGGUCUCUUCUCCUCUUUUCUCCCCAGCACAAGAAAAGCCCUCAGUUUAUCGUUGAAGCUAGGGAUUUUUACUGUCGUGCACCUCUCCCUCUUUUGCUCUUCUCCCUUUUUCUGCAUGUGGUUUGCUGUGUUCACUCCCUUUCUCUAUCUUUUUUUCACUUUUCUUUCCUCCCUCUAAUUUUGUGUCUAGCAUUUGUUUUCUGCUCCACUUCUCUCUACCUUCGUCCAUGUGUUUUUAUUCAACUCUUCUCACUUUUGCUCUGAGUUUUCGUUUAUUUUGAGUGCUGUGUAUGUGCUGCCUUUCUACUCUGUUUUUCUUUUCUUCUGUGUUUUGCUUUGCAUGUGGUUGAACGUUCAGGUCUGCUGUCUGCUCUACUCUUGGUUUCUUUUCUAUGUGCCUUUUAUGGAAGUUUGUGUCUUCUGCGUCGAGGAAAAUGCCUUUUACAGCUGCUCUCCAUAUCUCUCUCUUGUGUGUUUCGUGUGCAUGCUCUACUCUCCCUCCAAAAGACCUUCAUCUUUCAGCUUUUUUUUUUCUUUUAUGUGUGUGUCUGCUCUGGCCUGUGUUCUCUUUUUUUUUUUUUUCCUAUGCGUUUGGAUGAAGGACCGAGCUGAUGGUUAAACGCUAGAAAAUCCAUCGUUUAACCUUUGGUUUAUAAUUUUUUUAACCCUAGCUCACUUUUUUUUAGUUUUUAAUUAUGUUUAUUAUAUAUAUAUAUAUAUAUGCACAUAUAAGGGAGAUAAUCAGAUCUGCAAGAAUUUACAAUAACAAGCAUUUAUCCUAUUAGGUGGGGUUGGCUACAUGUAUUGCAAGAUGCCAUUGUGCUCUAUCAUUUACCAAACUUUUAGAAAUAUUAUUAAUUAAGAGAUCAUGUUCAACAACUUUCAAAAGUAUUUUCUUAGGCCUUCCUCUACCCCUCUUAACAGGACUCAACGUUAUAUGUUCUACUCUUUUCACUGGUGCCUUCCAUGAUCUUCUUUGUAUAUGCCCAAACCAUCUCAAAUAAUUUUCUACCAUUUUUUUCUUAAUAGGUGUUACCCUCACUUUUUUGCGUAUGUGCUCAUUUCAAAUUUUAUCUUUACGUGUAUGUCCGUACAUUCAUUGUAACGUUCUCAUCUCUGCCACUCCAACUUUAUGCUCUUGCUGUCCCGUUAGAGUCUAGCAUUCACUAUUAUAUAACAUAGCCGGUUUGAUAGCAGUACAAUAAAAUUUUCCUUUAAGUUUAUUAGGCACCUUACGAUCACAAAUAACUCAUUCAAUUUUUCUCUAAUUAAACCACCCAGCUUGAAUCCUAUAUGAAAUAUCUCCACUGAUUUCGCCAUCAUUUUGAAUAAUGGCUCCUAAAUAUCUAAACUUUUUCAUUUGAGGUAUAAUUUGAUCUCCUAAUUUUACUUCCAAAUUAUUGUCGACUAGUCUCUUACUAACUUUACAAUAUAAAUAUUCCGUCUUAUUUUUACUCAGACAGAAACCUUUCAACUCCAAUGUCGUCCUUUAUGAUUCAAGUUUACAAUUAAUCUCUUCUCUUAUCUUUGGUAUAAGAACUAUAUCAUUUGCAAAGAGCAUACAUUUGAGAAUUUCUCCUUGAAUAUGUUUCGUCAAAACUUUUAGGAUCAAGUUAAAUAGAUAAAGACUCAAAGAUGAUUCCUAAUGUAGUCCAAUCUUUAUAUAAAAGUCCUUUAUUUGACUAUUAGACGUUCUUAUACUAGUUUUUACCCCCUCAUACAUAUCUUAUAUAACUUUAAUAUAAGCAAUCCGUAUUCCCUUCUUUUCCAAGGCUUUCCAAAGAACUUUUCAGUAUACGGUCAUAAGCUUUUUCCAAAUCAAUAAAAAUCAUGUGUAAAUCUUUAUCUUUACAAUGAUACUUUUUCAUUAAUCCCCUUAGUAGAUAAAUCACCUCUGUAGUCGAUCUACCUGGCAUAAAACCAAACUAAUUUUCUGAAAUACUUGUCUCCAAUCUCAACCUAUGCUCAAUUACUUUCUCCUACAAUUUCAUUGUGUGGCUCAUAAGUUUAAUCCCUCUAUAGUUAGUAUAAUUCUGAAUAUCCCCUUUAUUUUUAUAAAUAGGAAUUAAUGUACUUCUCCUCUAGUUGUCAGGCAUUUUCUUCGACUGUAAAAUCACAUCUGCAAGAAUUUAAAAAUACUUAAUUUUUAAGAAGUUGAUUCUCAUAAUUUUUUGAUUGUUGAAAUAAUUUGAGAGAGAUUUUUCAAGAUUUAAGCAAGAUACAUAUUUUUGAUUUUGUUAGAUUAUUUUUUUUGAAAAUAUAAUCCUAAAAAGAACUAAAUUUUGUUUUUUUAUUUUUAUAUUUUUUUUGUUAUUUUAAUGAACUAGAAAAAUAAAAUCUUAACCAACAAAAGAUUAUCUAGGUUAAAAUAAAAUUAAACCCUCUUAAUUAAAAAUUUUUUAUUUUGAAAAUAUAAUCCUAAAAAGGAUUAAAUAUCAUUUUUAUAUUUUUAUAUUUUUUGGUUGAAUUUAUUAUUAUUUUUAUUAAAUUUAAAAAAAUGCUUGGACAAAAUACAGUGUUCACAAAGUCCAUUCCAUAGAUCUUUUUAUCUAUAUUCACACAAUUUCAAAUCCAUAUGAGCAAAUGGUUAGGGAUGCUAUUAGACCAUCAUUUAAUGGCCAUGACAUGAAUAAGGAUCCUAACACAAAUUCUGCAAAGUUCUAUGACAUGCUUCGUGCUUCACAAUCUCCGUUAUGGGAUGGGUUUGAAAAUCAUAUUGUAUUGUCAAUUGCUGUGAGAUUAUUGAGCAUCAAGUCUGAUUAUAACAUUCCACAAGUUUGUAUGGAUGAAAUUAUCAUAUUGAUAAAUGAGAUCUUGCGAAAAACCCAUCAUAUGCCUUUAAACUUUUAUCAAACCAAGAAAUUAGUUACCCAACCUGGUUGUGUUUAUCAAAAGAUUGAUUAUUAUAGUAAUAGGUGUAUGUUGUACUGUGGCAAUGCGAUAAAUGAGAGAAAGUGCCAAUUUUGUAAGAUUGCAAGAUUUAAGGAGGCAAGAAUUGGAAAAGGGAGGUUUAAGGAGAUCUCAACAAAACAAAUGUGGUACUUACCAUUAAUUCUAAAACUCUAAAGAUUAUUUACAUCUAAAGCCUCAACCAAAUAUAUGCGAUGGCAUUAUGAAAAUCAUUGAGAUGAAGGUGUCUUGUCCCAUCCAUCAGAUGGGGAAACAUGGAAGCAUUUUGAUCUAACACAUCCAAAAUUUGCAUUAAAGCCAAGAAAUGUUCGGUUAGGUCUUUAUUCUGAUGGCUUUAGUCUAUUCAACAUGAGUUCUAGGCCAUAUUCUUGUUGGCCUGUUAUUGUUACUCCUUACAACCUUCCACCUGGAAUGUGUACGUGAUGAGAAUAUAUGUUCUUGACAAUCAUAAUUCCUGGGCCAAGUAAUCCAAAAAGUCAAAUUGAUGUUUACUUACAAUCCUUAAUUGAUAAACUGAAGUUGCUUUGGGAAGAAGGUGUGCUGACGUAUGACAUAUCAUUACAAUAAAAUUUUAACUUACGAGCUACCCUUUUAUAGACCAUUAAUGAUUUUCUUGCAUAUAGUAUGUACUAGCAAACAGUAGGAAAACUGGGUUGUCCAAUUUGCAUGGAUCAAUUGAAGGAAUUUUAAUUGAAACAUGGGAUCAAACCUUGCUAUUUUGAUUGUCAUCGUCAAUUCCUUCCCUUAAAUCAUCCGUUUAGGAAAAAAUAAAAAGCGUUUUAGAAAGAACAAAAUAGAGAAUUCUGAACCACCAUCAAGAUAUUCAAGUGGUGAAUUAUUUGAGCAAGUUAGGAGAUUUGCUAAAAUAAUAGAAUCACCAUAUUUACAUCUCCCAGGAUAUGGCAAGGAGCAUAAUUGGACUAAGCGAAGCAUUUUUUGGGACCUUCCUUAUUGGUGUGACCUUUUAAAUUCCCAUAACAUAGAUGUAAUGUACAUAGAAGGAAAUGUAUUUCAUAAUAUGUUUAAUACUAUGAUGAAUGUGAAAGAUAAGAUGAAAGAUAAUGAGAAAGAUAAGUUAGAUUUUC